rnacentral:rRNA from 1 species
AGCUCCAUUAGCGUAUAUUAAAGUUGUUGCAGUUAAAAAGCUCGUAGUUGGAUCUCGGGUCCAGGCCUGCGGUUCCUUUAACCAGGACACUGCUUGCCCUGACCUACCUGCCGGCUCUCCCUUGGUGCUCUUAAUCGAGUGUCCUGGGCUGCUGUCAGGUUUACUUUGAAAAAAUUAGAGUGCUCAAAGCAGGCUUUACACGCUUGAAUAUUCGUGCAUGGAAUAAUAGAAUAGGAUGUGAUUUCUAUUUUGUUGGUUUUCGGAAAUUCACAUAAUGAUUAAUAGGGACAGUCGGGGGCAUCCGUAUUUCGUUGUCGGAGGUGAAAUUCUUGGAUUUACGAAAGACGAACAACUGCGAAAGCAUUUGCCAAGAGUGUUUUCAUUAAUCAAGAACGAAAGU